rnacentral:rRNA from 1 species
UACGGGGGGGGCAAGCGUUGUUCGGAAUUACUGGGCGUAAAGGGCUCGUAGGUGGCCAACUAAGUCAGACGUGAAAUCCCUCGGCUUAACCGGGGAACUGCGUCCGAUACUGGAUGGCUUGAGUUCGGGAGAGGGAUGCGGAAUUCCAGGUGUAGCGGUGAAAUGCGUAGAUAUCUGGAGGAACACCGGUGGCGAAGGCGGCAUCCUGGACCGACACUGACGCUGAGGAGCGAAAGCCAGGGGAGCAAACGGG